rnacentral:rRNA from 1 species
CGAACGCUGGCGGCGCGCUUUAUACAUGCAAGUCGAACGUGAAGCUCGGAGCUUGCUCCGGGUGGAAAGUGGCGAACGGGUGAGUAUCACGUGAGAAACCUGCCCCGAAGACCGGGAUAACACCGGGAAACCGGUGCUAAUACCGGAUGCCCUCACCGGAUCGCAUGGUCUGGUGAGGAAAUGGAUUCCGCUUCGGGAUGGUCUCGCGGCCUAUCAGCUUGUUGGUGGGGUAACGGCCCACCAAGGCUUCGACGGGUAGCUGGUCUGAGAGGAUGUCCAGCCACACUGGGACUGAGACACGGCCCAGACUCCUACGGGAGGCAGCAGGUAGGGAAUCUUGCACAAUGGGACGAAAGUCUGAUGCAGCGACGCCGCGUGUGGGAUGACUGCCCUCGGGGUU